rnacentral:rRNA from 1 species
GAUGAACGCUGGCGGCGUGCUUAACACAUGCAAGUCGAACGAUGAAGCUCCAGCUUGCUGGAGUGGAUUAGUGGCGAACGGGUGAGUAACACGUGAGUAACCUGCCCUUGACUCUGGGAUAAGCCUUGGAAACGAGGUCUAAUACCGGAUAGGAGCACUCAUCGCAUGGUGGGUGUUGGAAAGAAUUUCGGUCAUGGAUGGACUCGCGGCCUAUCAGCUUGUUGGUGAGGUAAUGGCUCACCAAGGCGACGACGGGUAGCCGGCCUGAGAGGGUGACCGGCCACACUGGGACUGAGACACGGCCCAGACUCCUACGGGAGGCAGCAGUGGGGAAUAUUGCACAAUGGGCGAAAGCCUGAUGCAGCGACGCCGCGUGAGGGAUGACGGCCUUCGGGUUGUAAACCUCUUUCAGUAGGGAAGAAGCGAAAGUGACGGUACCUGCAGAAGAAGCACCGGCUAACUACGUGCCAGCAGCCGCGGUAAUACGUAGGGUGCGAGCGUUAUCCGGAAUUAUUGGGCGUAAAGAGCUCGUAGGCGGUUUGUCGCGUCUGCCGUGAAAGUCCGGGGCUUAACUCCGGAUCUGCGGUGGGUACGGGCAGACUAGAGUGCAGUAGGGGAGACUGGAAUUCCUGGUGUAGCGGUGGAAUGCGCAGAUAUCAGGAGGAACACCGAUGGCGAAGGCAGGUCUCUGGGCUGUAACUGACGCUGAGGAGCGAAAGCAUGGGGAGCGAACAGGAUUAGAUACCCUGGUAGUCCAUGCCGUAAACGUUGGGCACUAGGUGUGGGGACCAUUCCACGGUUUCCGCACCGCAGCUAACGCAUUAAGUGCCCCGCCUGGGGAGUACGGCCGCAAGGCUAAAACUCAAAGGAAUUGACGGGGGCCCGCACAAGCGGCGGAGCAUGCGGAUUAAUUCGAUGCAACGCGAAGAACCUUACCAAGGCUUGACAUGUUCUCGAUCGCCGUAGAGAUACGGUUUCCCCUUUGGGGCGGGUUCACAGGUGGUGCAUGGUUGUCGUCAGCUCGUGUCGUGAGAUGUUGGGUUAAGUCCCUCAACGAGCGCAACCCCUGUUCUAUGUUGCCAGCACGUGAUGGUGGGGACUCAUGGGAGACUGCCGGGGUCAACUCGGAGGAAGGUGGGGACGACGUCAAAUCAUCAUGCCCCUUAUGUCUUGGGCUUCACGCAUGCUACAAUGGCCGGUACAAUGGGUUGCGAUACUGUGAGGUGGAGCUAAUCCCAAAAAGCCCGUCUCAGUUCGGAUUGGGGUCUGCAACUCGACCCCAUGAAGUUGGAGUCGCUAGUAAUCGCAGAUCAGCAACGCUGCGGUGAAUUACUUCCCGGGCCU